rnacentral:rRNA from 1 species
UACGUAGGGUGCGAGCGUUAAUCGGAAUUACUGGGCGUAAAGCGUGCGCAGGCGGUUUUGUAAGCCAGAUGUGAAAGCCCCGGGCUUAACCUGGGAAUGGCAUUUGGGACUGCAAGGCUUGAGUGCGGCAGAGGAGACUGGAAUUCCUGGUGUAGCAGUGAAAUGCGUAGAUAUCAGGAGGAACACCGGUGGCGAAGGCGGCUUCCUGGACCGACACUGACGCUGAGGCGCGAAAGCUAGGGGAGCAAACGGG